rnacentral:rRNA from 1 species
UACAGAGGGUGCGAGCGUUGUUCGGAAUUUAUUGGGCGUAAAGGGCGCGUAGGCGGUGCGGUAAGUCACCUGUGAAAACUCUCCCGGCUCAACCGGGAGCUUGCAGGCGAAACUGCCGGUGCUGGAGUGUGGGAGAGGGUGCGUGGAAUUCCCGGUGUAGCGGUGAAAAUGCGUAGAUAUCGGGAGGAACACCUGUGGCGAA